UGACAGAAUUGUGUUGUUUGCAUGUUGGUAGUAUUUGUUUAGAAAAAAUACCUUUGUUUGCGAUUUUUGGAUACAAUUAAUUAUUUGAUAUUAUUAUGCUAUCAGGUUGUUUGAAGCACAGUGUUGUGUUGUCUUGUUAAUAGCAGAAGCUUUGACGAGAUAUUACCAGAAUGGGGAUGUUGGCUUGUCAGUAUUUUUGUUUUGCCAGAUAUAUUUUUUAUAGAUUUUGUUUUGUCGUGGACAGUAUUUUAUAUUUAUUUGUAUUAGGUUCGUGAUAUCAUGUUCUAAACAAAAUAGAUGUUAUCAAUUAGUCGGCAGUAUUGUAUAGAAAC
rnacentral:lncRNA from 1 species